rnacentral:rRNA from 1 species
UACGAAGGGGGCUAGCGUUGCUCGGAAUUACUGGGCGUAAAGGGCGCGUAGGCGGCUUAUCAAGUCAGGCGUGAAAUUCCCGGGCUCAACCUGGGGGCUGCGCUUGAUACUGAUUGGCUUGAAUGCGGGGAGAGGAUAGUGGAAAUUCCCAGUGUAGAGGUGAAAUUCGUAGAUAUUGGGAAGAACACCGGUGGCGAAGGCGGCCAUCUGGACCGCA